rnacentral:misc_RNA from 1 species
UCCCCGUUAACCGGGGCAGUCCCCCUAGAGUUCCCGGCAUGACCCGUUGGCAACUAGGGGCGAGGGUUGCGCUCGUUGCGGGACUUAACCCAACAUCUCACGACGCGAGCUGACGACAGCCAUGCAGCACCUGUGCACGGGCUCCGAAGAGGGGCCCCCUUUUCUGAGGGCUUUCCCGUGUAUGUCAAGCCUAGGUAAGGUUCUUCGCGUUGCGUCGAAUUAAACCACAUGCUCCACCGCUUGUGCGGGCCCCCGUCAAUUCCUUUGAGUUUUAAUCUUGCGACCGUACUCCCCAGGCGGAAUGCUUAAAGCGUUAGCUGCGCCACUGACGAGCAAGCUCGCCAACGGCUGGCAUUCAUCGUUUACGGCGUGGGCUAC